rnacentral:rRNA from 2 species
GACGGAGGAGGCAAGCGUUAUCCGGAAUUAUUGGGCGUAAAGCGUCCGUAGGCGGCUUUUUAAGUCUGUUGUCAAAGCCCACAGCUCAACUGUGGAUCGGCAAUGGAAACUGGGGAGCUUGAGUGUGGUAGGGGUAGAGGGAAUUCCCGGUGUAGCGGUGAAAUGCGUAGAUAUCGGGAAGAACACCAGUGGCGAAGGCGCUCUACUGGGCCACAACUGACGCUGAUGGACGAAAGCUAGGGGAGCGAAAGGG